GUAGGUGGCAAGCGUUGUCCGGAAUUAUUGGGCGUAAAGCGCGCGCAGGCGGUCCUUUAAGUCUGAUGUGAAAGCCCACGGCUCAACCGUGGAGGGUCAUUGGAAACUGGGGGACUUGAGUGCAGAAGAGGAAAGCGGAAUUCCAAGUGUAGCGGUGAAAUGCGUAGAGAUUUGGAGGAACACCAGUGGCGAAGGCGGCUUUCUGGUCUGUAACUGACGCUGAGGCGCGAAAGCGUGGGGAGCAAACAGGAUUAGAUACCCUGGUAGUCCACGCCGUAAACGAUGAGUGCUAAGUGUUAGGGGGUUUCCGCCCCCCUUAGUGCUGCAGCUAACGCAUUAAGCACUCCGCCUGGGAUACGGCCGCAAGGCUG
rnacentral:rRNA from 1 species